UCUCUUUGGGUUGAAAACUCCGGUGGUUAUGGAUGGGCAUGCGUUGUAUUAGCUAGUUGGUGAGGUAACGGCUCACCAAGGCGACGAUACAUAGGGGGACUGAGAGGUUAACCCCCCACAUUGGUACUGAGACACGGACCAAACUCCUACGGGAGGCAGCAGUGAGGAAUAUUGGUCAAUGGACGCAAGUCUGAACCAGCCAUGCCGCGUGCAGGAUGACGGCUCUAUGAGUUGUAAACUGCUUUUGUACGAGGGUAAACUCACCUACGUGUAGGUGACUGAAAGUAUCGUACGAAUAAGGAUCGGCUAACUCCGUGCCAGCAGCCGCGGUAAUACGGAGGAUUCAAGCGUUAUCCGGAUUUAUUGGGUUUAAAGGGUGCGUAGGCGGUUAGAUAAGUUAGAGGUGAAAUCCCGGGGCUUAACUCCGAAAUUGCCUCUAAUACUGUUUGACUAGAGAGUAGUUGCGGUAGGCGGAAUGUAUGGUGUAGCGGUGAAAUGCUUAGAGAUCAUACAGAACACCGAUUGCGAAGGCAGCUUACCAAACUAUAUCUGACGUUGAGGCACGAAAGCGUGGGGAGCAAA
rnacentral:rRNA from 1 species